AUAACCGGAUACAGUUAAAAGUACGGACGCCCGUACCCGUAGUUCUGGUGGGUGCGGCGGUGAGUGAAAAGAAACGACGACGGCGAUGAUUCGAAGAGCGUCGUUCGCCUCCGUCUUCUCCGCGAGAGCUUUUGAACUGUUGAAGAAUCGCUCUUUCAAAUCCUCUGGAUUUCACGGGGAGUCCCUCGAUUCCUCUCUCUCCCCCAUUCUCAUCCCCGGAAUCCACGUCUUCCAUUGCCCGGAUUCGGUUGGAAUUGUGGCGAAAUUAUCAGAUUGUAUUGCAGCAAACGGCGGAAACAUUCUCGGUUACGAUGUUUUUGUACCCGAAAACAAGAAUAUCUUCUACUCUAGGAGUGAGUUUAUAUUUGAUCCUGUAAAAUGGCCGAGGGGGCAAAUGGAUGAGGAUUUUCAAAAGAUCGCCAAAAAAUUCUGUGCUGUGAGCUCAGUUGUACGUGUGCCCUCUAUAGACCCCAAGUAUAAGAUAGCUCUUCUUGUUUCGAAACAGGAUCACUGUCUGGUUGAGAUGUUGCAUAAUUGGCAGGAUGGAAAAGUCCCUGUUGAUAUAACUUGCGUGAUAAGUAAUCAUGAAAGAGCUCCAAACACCCAUGUCAUGCGGUUUCUGGAAAGGCAUGGUAUCUCGUAUCAUUAUUUUCCAACAACCAAAGAGAAUAAAAGAGAAGAGGAGAUUUUGGAAUUGGUGAAGGAUACUGAUUUCCUUGUUCUCGCCCGGUACAUGCAGGUACUGUCCGGAAAUUUUUUGAAAAGCUACGGGAAGGAAGUCAUCAACAUCCACCAUGGCCUCUUGCCAUCAUUCAAGGGUGGAAAUCCUGCAAGACAGGCAUUUGAUGCAGGUGUGAAGCUAAUCGGUGCUACAAGUCACUUUGUCACGGAGGAACUUGAUUCAGGGCCUAUCAUUGAACAAAUGGUUGAGAGAGUUUCUCACAGAGACAAUCUAAGGAGCUUUGUCCAGAAAUCUGAGGACCUUGAGAAAAAAUGCCUCACAAAAGCUAUAAAAUCAUACUGCGAACUGCGAGUAUUACCUUAUGGCACAAACAAGACGGUUGUAUUCUGAAUACACAUGUGGCUGAGAAGCUUCAACACGCCUGUCAUCUGAUUAUUUACCUGAACAUUCAUGGGAAGAAUGCAAUACCAGUUACCUCAAAAUUCUGGAGAUAUAUAGAUAUAUACAGGAAACAACAACAUCACACACGAUCACUGAGGCUAAGAGAGUCAAGAGAGCAUUUUGGAGG